CAGUAGCCACGGUAAUACGAGGGGGGCAAGCGUUGUUCGGAAUUAUUGGGCGUAAAGGGUGCGUAGGCGGCUUGACAAGUCUUGUGUGAAAUCUAUGGGCUCAACCCAUAGUCUGCACGGGAAACUGUCGGGCUUGAGUAUUGGAGAGGUGAGUGGAAUUUCCGGUGUAGCGGUGAAAUGCGUAGAUAUCGGAAGGAACACCUGCGGCGAAAGCGGCUCACUGGACAAUAACUGACGCUGAUGCACGAAAGCUAGGGGAGCAAACAGGAUUAGAUACCCCAGUAGUCCCUGUCUCUUAUAC
rnacentral:rRNA from 1 species